rnacentral:rRNA from 1 species
UAGAGUUUGAUCCUGGCUCAGAACGAACGCUGGCGGCGCGCCUAACACAUGCAAGUCGAACGAGAAUGCAGGCUUCGGUCUGCUAGUAAAGUGGCGCACGGGUGAGUAACACGUGGAUAACGUACAUUGUAGUGGGGGAUAACCAGGUGAAAGCUUGGCUAAUACCGCAUGAGUCUGUCGGGACGCAGGUUUUGACAGGGAAAGUGAGCAAUCACGCUACGAGAUCGGUCCGCGGCCCAUUAGCUAGUUGGCGGGGUAAUGGCCCACCAAGGCGACGAUGGGUAGCUGGUCUGAGAGGAUGAUCAGCCACACUGGGACUGAGACACGGCCCAGACUCCUACGGGAGGCAGCAGUGGGGAAUUUUGGACAAUGGGGGCAACCCUGAUCCAGCCAUGCCGCGUGAGUGAAGAAGGCCUUCGGGUUGUAAAGCUCUUUUGGUCGGGAAGAAAGUGCCCUGAUUAAUACGCGGGGUAUUUGACGGUACCGGCAGAAUAAGCACCAGCGAACUACGUGCCAGCAGCCGCGGUAAUA